UACGGGGGGGGGCAAGCGUUGUUCGGAAUUACUGGGCGUAAAGGGUGCGUAGGCGGUUCGCUAAGUUGGAUGUGAAAACUCUGGGCUUAACCCAGAGCCUGCAUCCAAUACUGACGAGCUAGAGUUCUGGAGGGGGGUAGCGGAAUUCCUGGUGUAGCGGUGAAAUGCGUAGAUAUCGUAAGGAAGACCAGUGGCGAAGGCGGGUCUCUGGACAGUUCCUGACGCUGAGGCACGAAGGCCAGGGGGAGCAAACGGGG
rnacentral:rRNA from 1 species